rnacentral:lncRNA from 1 species
UUAUCUGUCACACUAUAUAAAAAAUUGUAAUUCACUAAAUAAACUUUUUUAUUUAAUGAAUUAUAAUUUUUUGAUUUACCUAAAUAAAAUCUAUUAGAUAAUACCUAUGUUUGAAAAUCACAAAAAAAUAAGCAUGAAUAUUGAUUUUGGAUUAUUAUUGAAACUGUACUGGUUUUCAUAAAUUAAGGAACAAACAGAAAAUGAUAAAAACUUUUUAAAAAGUAGCUGAAUAUACCUGAAUUUAAUAUGCUAGGUAGCCAUAAAAUAACAACAGGGCUUGUAUUCAGAGCCCUGUUGCGCAUCAUAUAUUGGACGAAACAUAACAAAAUUAGGUGGACAUACACAGUGGAACAUGCAAUUUUGAAUUCGAAAGAAAACAAAUUUAAUAUCAAAAGUCACCAACGGGAAUUGUGGUGCUGUAAAAGUGUAGAAUGUGUGAUUAAGGAAUGUAUAAUCACCAAAUGAAAAGCACACAUCAAGUUUCUGAACAAUAUAUGGCAAUAUUUAUUGUUAAUUAUACAUGAGGUUCAAUAUGAU